AUAACCGUGAGAGAGGGUACAAAUAAACCCCAAAGGGCAGAAACAUAAACAUAUAGGUACUCCAAUGAUUAAACUGACUAAUAAAAAUAAAAAUUCGGGUAUACUUUGGUACACCAUUUUUUAAACAUUUUUUGAUAAAAUUAAAUCGAAAAUUGUAUCAACUAUAGAGAUGGGCUAAUCCCUAAACUAACUACACUCCAACUAUUUGGAAUAGGUCAAUAAAUAUAUAAAAUAUUCUUAGAUAGGUUUGUAUAACCACUAAGGUGGCUGCUAAUAUAACAGAUGUUGUACAACACGUACGCACACACACACAUACAUACAUACAUACAUACAUACAUACAUACAUAUAUAUAUUUAACUAUG